rnacentral:rRNA from 1 species
ACGCACGCUGGCGGCAGGCUUAACACAUGCAAGUCGAGCGAGACCUUCGGGUCUAGCGGCGGACGGGUGAGUAACGCGUGGGAACGUGCCCUUCUCUACGGAAUAGCCCCGGGAAACUGGGAGUAAUACCGUAUACGCCCUUUGGGGGAAAGAUUUAUCGGAGAAGGAUCGGCCCGCGUUGGAUUAGGUAGUUGGUGGGGUAAUGGCCCACCAAGCCGACGAUCCAUAGCUGGUUUGAGAGGAUGAUCAGCCACACUGGGACUGAGACACGGCCCAGACUCCUACGGGAGGCAGCAGUGGGGAAUCUUAGACAAUGGGGGCAACCCUGAUCUAGCCAUGCCGCGUGAGUGAUGAAGGCCUUAGGGUUGUAAAGCUCUUUCAGCUGGGAAGAUAAUGACGGUACCAGCAGAAGAAGCCCCGGCUAACUCCGUG